rnacentral:siRNA from 1 species
ACAAUUUGUCCCCUACCUUGUUGA